rnacentral:rRNA from 1 species
AGACGUCUACAUUAGAUACCCGUGUAGUCCCAGCCGUAAACUAUGCGCGUUAGGUGUAUCGGUGACCACGAGUUACCGAGGUGCCGAAGGGAAACCGUGAAACGUGCCACCUGGGAAGUACGGUCGCAAGGCUGAAACUUAAAGGAAUUGGCGGGGAGCACCACAACGGGUGGAGCCUGCGGUUUAAUUGGACUCAACGCCGGGAAGCUCACCGGAUAAGACAGCGGAAUGAUUGCCGGGCUGAAGACUCUGCAUGACUAGCUG